GAGGGUAUAGCUCAGUGGUAGAGCAAAUGCUUAGCAUGCAUGAGGUCUUGAGUUCAAUCCCCAAUACCACCA
rnacentral:tRNA from 1 species